rnacentral:rRNA from 1 species
GAUGAACGCUGGCGGCGUGCUUAACACAUGCAAGUCGAACGAAGACAUCUGAGUGCUUGCACUUGGAUGGACUGAGUGGCGGACGGGUGAGUAACGCGUGGGUAACCUGCCUUAUACAGGGGGAUAACAGUUGGAAACGACUGCUAAUACCGCAUAAGCGCACAGUAUCGCAUGAUACAGUGUGAAAAACUCCGGUGGUAUAAGAUGGACCCGCGUCUGAUUAGCUGGUUGGUGAGGUAACGGCCCACCAAGGCGACGAUCAGUAGCCGGCCUGAGAGGGUGAACGGCCACAUUGGGACUGAGACACGGCCCAAAACUCCUACGGGAGGCAGCAGUGGGGAAUAUUGCACAAUGGGCGAAAGCCUGAUGCAGCAACGCCGCGUGAGCGAUGAAGGCCUUCGGUCGUAAAGCUCUGUCCUCAAGGAAGAUAAUGACGGUACUUGAGGAGGAAGCCCGGC